AUUGAACGCUGGCGGCAGGCCUAACACAUGCAAGUCGAACGAGUGGCGGACGGGUGAGUAAUGUCUGGGCAACUGCCUGAUGGAGGGGGAUAACUACUGGAAACGGUAGCUGAUACCGCAUACCAUCGGAUGUGCCCAGAUGGGUUUAGCUAGGAGGUGGGGUAAAGGCUCACCUAGGCGACGAUCCCUAGCUGGUCUGAGAGGAUGACCAGCCACACUGGAACUGAGACACGGUCCAGACUCCUACGGGAGGCAGCAGUGGGGAAUAUUGGACAAUGGGCGAAAGCCUGAUGCAGCCAUGCCGCGUGUAUGAAGAAGGUCUUCGGGUUGUAAAGUACUUUCAGCGGGGAGGCGUUACCCGCAGAAGAAGCACCGGCUAACUCCGUGCCAGCCGCCGCGGUAAUAC
rnacentral:rRNA from 1 species